rnacentral:snRNA from 1 species
CGGACGUCUUCGGCGUUCGAAU